GACGAACGCUGGCGGCGUGCCUAAUACAUGCAAGUCGAGCGGACGAAUCGAAAGCUUGCUUUUGAUUCGUUAGCGGCGGACGGGUGAGUAACACGUGGGCAACCUGCCCUGUAGACGGGGAUAACACCGAGAAAUCGGUGCUAAUACCGGAUAACACGAAAUGUCGCAUGACGUUUCGUUGAAAGACGGCGCAAGCUGCCGCUACAGGAUGGGCCCGCGGCGCAUUAGCUAGUUGGUGAGGUAACGGCUCACCAAGGCGACGAUACGUAGCCGACCUGAGAGGGUGAUCGGCCACACUGGGACUGAGACACGGCCCAGACUCCUACGGGAGGCAGCAGUAGGGAAUCUUCCGCAAUGGACGAAAGUCUGACGGAGCAACGCCGCGUGAGCGAAGAAGGCCUUCGGGUCGUAAAGCUCUGUUGUUAGGGAAGAACAAGUAACGCAGUAACUGGCGUUACCGUGACGGUACCUAACGAGAAGGCCACGGCUAACUACGUG
rnacentral:rRNA from 1 species